rnacentral:tRNA from 1 species
AGAAAAGUAAGCUAUAUUUAAGCUACUGGGUUCAUACCCCAUUUAUAGAGUUUACCUCUCUUUUCUA